AAAAGCUCAAAUUUGAAAUCUGGCGCCUUCGGUGUCCGAGUUGUAAUUUGAAGAUUGUAACCUUGGGGUUGGCUCUUGUCUAUGUUUCUUGGAACAGGACGUCACAGAGGGUGAGAAUCCCGUGCGAUGAGAUGCCCAAUUCUAUGUAAGGUGCUUUCGAAGAGUCGAGUUGUUUGGGAAUGCAGCUCUAAGUGGGUGGUAAAUUCCAUCUAAAGCUAAAUAUUGGCGAGAGACCGAUAGCGAACAAGUACAGUGAUGGAAAGAUGAAAAGAACUUUGAAAAGAGAGUGAAAAAGUACGUGAAAUUGUUGAAAGGGAAGGGUUUGAGAUCAGACUCGAUAUUUUGUGAGCCUUGCCUUCGUGGCGGGGUGACCCGCAGCUUAUCGGGCCAGCAUCGGUUUGGGCGGUAGGAUAAUGGCGUAGGAAUGUGACUUUACUUCGGUGAAGUGUUAUAGCCUGCGUUGAUGCUGCCUGCCUAGACCGAGGACUGCGAUUUUAUCAAGGAUGCUGGCAUAAUGAUCCCAAACC
rnacentral:rRNA from 1 species